AAGGGAAUAACAAAAACCCACAAGCACCAACCACAGCGAUCAAAAUCACAAUAUCGAUUACGGCCGAUCGAGACCGAUGACAAACAGGGAAUUUGGAACAAGUGGAUGAGGCAGUCAUCUUCUUGUUCCUUGAUUUGGAACUUGAAUCGGCUAAAUUCACUGAACUCGCCAUGACGGUUGGUUGGUCAACGGACUUGCAGACCGAGAUCGAGUAUGGGAAAUAGACCAUCUCAAAUCGAAUUCCAAUCAAACUGCGAUUGAAACUCCCCGAUUCAAUCAAUCACAUCCAGCAAUUCAAAACCCAAAUCAGAUCG
rnacentral:misc_RNA from 1 species